AAAUGUCUUUUAAAAAUAAAAGUAUAAUAAUAAGCUGCAGCGUUUGGUUAGAGGAUAGAAAUAGAAAUAAGCCCUUAUCCCCUUUUCUACCCAAACGCUAAUUUUUUAUCCAAAAAUAGUAGUUCUCGAUUAUCCCUACCAACACCUUCAUUUUCUAUAUAAAACUACUUAAUAUUUUUCUUAUUUCCGGAAACAAUUCAAUUUUCAUUCAAACGCUAUUUUUCUUAUCCCUAUAUUUGUACCUAUUUCUGUAAUAACUAGUUCUUACUUAUACCCGAACCAAACGGUACCUAAAGUACAAAAACCCAUUAAUGGGUCAGUGAACAAUAAAAGCGUAAUUUAAUUAAUUGAGAACAUGAUGAUAUAAGAAAGAGUGUAGAAUGCGUUCAACUGAUUGAGAACAUAUGAUACACAAGAAAAAGUGUAGAAUGUGACGGUGACACCACAGGUCUUUUAGAUAGCAAUUAUACCACAUCUUAUCUCUAUCCCUCGGUUAUUGACUUGGCCAGUAGCAAGAGCAAGAUUUACCUUGGCACUCAAAUAAAGCUUGAGUUACUGCAGAAAAUCGCUAUUUCCCGUCCCACUUUCCGGCGAAACAAAUAUGCCCUAAGCCCUUUCCUUCGGCCAAAUAAAAUGAACUCUGCAGGGAAAAUAGCACCAACAACAUCUAAGACUCAGGAUAUCCACCAGUCGACUUCAAGGCAGCUUUUGCAAAAUCAGACACUUUGACUUUAAAAUUUGAAUAUGUCGACUAUCUUUACUAAUAUAGUUCACGCAAUCGUCACAACUAUAAAUUCAUUAAAAUAAAUAGAUUAAAUUUUAAAGGCAGUCAAAGUAACAACGACCGACUUGAAUCAAACAAAUUGAAAAAUCUAGUAAAAUUAAAAUUUUAAAAGAUUAGUUAACUAAUUCAAAAUGAUACAUAGUUCAGAUAAGUUCGGUAAGAUUUUACCAAAAUGGAAAAUAAAGAAGGCUCGGAUUUGGCGAUGAAUGAAAUAUCAUGAAUUGCAGAAACUUCCACUGCAAGGUCAGUAUCAGGAAAGCCAAGUGCAUAAGAAGUACGGAUACACUGCAGGCAUGUGGGUAGGUGUACAGGGAGCAUCGCUCAACGAACUAAAGAUGGCGGCAAAUGGUCACCUGCAAAGAAGAUGGCCGGCCAAAAACUCGCAGCGCCAAGCAUGCUUAAGCCUCAAAAGACAGGAGAGAAUGGCAGAAACCUGCACAAAAAAGCAUCAAAACUCAAAAUUCAAUGAGUCUGUACACCAAAUCAUGCAAACCAGUUUAGUAUCUGGUUGUUUGGGCCAAAAUCAUCAUAGCCUCAAAAAGAACAGAAAAGAAUCGGCACACAACACAAUUGCGCAAGAUCCGGAAAAAACCAAAAAUGAAAUGGAGGGAGAGUAUUAGUUAGUAGUUCUCUGGCUUCAUUGGGAAUUGCGGGCCAAAUGCAUUACAUGCGACGGAAAAAAAUUCCAUUUGCUUUUGCAAAUGAUGCCACAUUGAGCAAAUCACAAGGCUCUAUUAACAGAUAAUGUUUGCACUGUGCUAGUUACCCUCAGUAAACUUGUAGCAUAGGAGGCUCAGAUUCAGCCAACUAUCAGUCAUGAAAUUUGCCAAGCUCACUUAAAAAAAAAAAAGAAGAAGAAUUAAAUAGGAACAUUUGUCUAAAAACAUCAAAACCAAAUACUUACAUCACAAAAGCUAAGCUGCCUUCAACCGCAUGCUCGAAAUAUUUUCCCUCCUCAGAAAGUGACCAAAGCAUGCUUACUUUGAUUUACAGGCACGUUUGGUUCAAAAUAGGAAUCGAUCGAAAUCAAAAUAUGAAUGGAAAUGGACUGAAAUAUAAAAAGGAAUGAUAAAAACUGCUAAUUUGUUUGUUUGAUAAGAGAAAUAAGAUUCAGAAUCAGAAUCAUAUUCAAUUUGAAAUACAAAAAAAUGCUAUCCAAAUUCGUAAUUAAAAUUUGAAACAAAAUUUGAACUUAAAAUUUAAAUUUACUAUUCAAAUUCAAGUUCAAAGUCAAAAUCUAAAUUUUGAACCAAAUUCAAAUAUCAAACUUAUAUUCAAAAUUAAAUUUGAACUAAAGAACUUAAAAUUUUAAAUUUAAAUUCCUAAGCCAGAUUCAAAUUUAAAGUAUAGAUUAAUAUUUGAAUUUAAAUUAUUAUUAGUGAAAAAAAUAUUCUUUUCUCAAUUCCUUCCGGAAUCAAAGAUGAUUCCUAACUCCUUAGUGGGGAUCAUUUUUUCGUUUUUCGUUCCCCUGGAAAUAAAAAACGAGAUGCCAAUCCCUCAAACCAAACACCACCAAUAGGAAUGGAUCUUUCCAAUUCUUAUUCCCAGCCGCAAAUCCUUCAAACCAAACAUGCCCUAAGAGCAAUGCUAUAUUAGCACCAGCUCUUACAGAGGAAAACCAGAUAAAGAAAACUGUGACAAACAACCAUUCCAGAGGCCGCAAAUAGUUGCCUGCAGAGGAGCAGGCCAUCCAAUUUUGCCUGGCCAUCAUGUAAGUUCCUCAGCAGGAGGUCCGCAGCUGAUGUGGAGCAUGACCAUGAAACAAUUUCUUAAAGAGAAGCAAAAGGACUCCAAAGAAACCAGCAAUCAAAUCCCUAAAGACCAAGCUAUGAACUCAGAAACAAAUCACAAAGUCUUUGUCCCAAUUAGGGAAAAGAUCCCAGCUGGGAAAGAGCAAGAUCAUCACAGCCUCUUGAAGCACAUAGAAAAAGAACUGUUGAUAAGAAGAGGUUUUCCGGAAGCUUAGGCUAAAAAGGUUGAGAACCCAUGGUGUAAUUUAUCCCUUCUUCAAGGAGCACAAAGUAUCCCUUUGCAAUCAAAUUGAUGAUUAGACCACGUGUUAAAUACACGACAAAGGCACUAACUAUUACUGCAAUAACCAUAUAUACUCUCUUUCUCUCUCACCCGCUCCUGUUGAGCCCACAGAUGGCCAUAACGAUUGCAAACUGAACAGAUUCACCUCAUCAACUGUGUUUCAACCUCAACAGCAGAAAGGUACAAGUCAACGACCAGACCAGAACAAAUAGAUAAAAGAAUUGGCUAUUUGCAGGCCUCAUAUUUCCCACGGCAUGGCAAUUCUCAAAAUUUAAAAUCAAACCAUAAAACAAAUCUUCAAAAUCAGGCAAAGUUGGGAACUAUUAUCAAAUUUAUUUGCAAGAAAAUUGAUAAUAUCCUCUCCUCAGAAAGGGAGGGAAAAGAGAAAGAAAGAAAGAAAGAAAGAAACACUAACAAUAAGGACUUCAAUCAUGAACUUUCAAAAUGCAAUUCAAUCUACCUGUCACGAAAUAACAAGGAUGCCCACCCGACAUUCAGGGACACAAAAGUGAGCCAAACACAUGCGAGAGCUAAGCUUAUAUCAAGACUGACUGGAUACUCAACGCGCCAAUUGAGCAGACCAUUGUUGAGCAAAGUGUCAAGCCAAACACAAGCUGUUCGUUAACAAAGAGCUCAAUCGAGAGGCCAACUCAGACGAAACGGUUGUCCACUGAACAGCAAACUGUCCAAAUUCCACCAGCCAAGUAAAUCAGUGUCAAAAGCAGAAUGUAUGACUGACAAGACUUGCCUGAAGAAAUAUACAAAAGAACAGAAUGCAAAAAUGCCUUGUAUCAAUUUUAUAGUAUAAUAACAUGCCAGGCCCAGAUUGGAUUGGGUUGGGUUCAGGUGGGGUUGAAUUUGGUUGGCUUUGUAUUGGAUUAGAUAUCAACCUUCACCCACUCUAUAAUGGUGUACAGUUGAGGUUCCACAAUCCUAACCCACACCGAUUUCCAAAUCAUACAAUCCAAUCCAACCCAUUCGAUCAGAUUGGGUCAGGCAGGCUCUGGCCAAACCCAACCAAAGUUGUACGUCAAAAGGACUUGAAGAAAGGCUCAGAAUAGCCCGUGUCAGACAUGAAAAUAAAUAGAUAAUUUUACAGGAACAUAUAUGCAGAAAAUCUGAAGAAAGGACAGACAUGGAAAGGGAUGGCUAUCCGCCAGACAAGCCCAACUUGUUAGGGUAAAUCACCCUUAUUCAUCACUCUUGGCUUAAAAACCUGAAGCAAAUGGCCCUUAUUCAUCACUCUUGGCUUAGAAACCUGAAGCAAAUGGCUGCCCGAAUAGAAACAGACCAGCCAAAAUUUCCCUGCCAGAGUACAAGAACCUUAGUAAGGGUGUGUUUGGUUUCAUGUAAAACUUUGAAAAAAAAAUUUCGAUGGAAAAAAAUUUUUGUAGGAAAAUAAUCUUAUGCUGUAGUGUUUGGUUUGUCGGAAAAAAAAAAAAAAGUUUUCCAUUACGGUUGUCUGGUCGAAAGGAAAAAAAGGAAAAGUUAUAAAUAGAAAACUAUUAUAUGUAUUUUCUUUUAUUCUAUAUAUUAUAUAUUAUUAAUAUAUAAUAAUUAUCAUAUUAUAUAUAUUAGUAUUAUAGUUUAUAUUUAUAAAUAAAACAUAUUAAAAUAUAUUAUAAAAUAAGUAUAUAAUAUAAUAUAUGACAGUAUAUAUAUUUAAUACUAUAAAAUAAAUUACUAUAUAUUUAUAAAUAAAAUAUUAUAUAAUAAUAUAUUUAUAUAAAAAUGAAAUAUUAUAUAUAUAAUAUAUAUAAUGAAUGAGGGGGAGAGAGAGAGAGUAGGUCCAUGGGUGGACUCUCUCACACGGUCCACGAGGUCAAGUUCACCUCAUGGACCGCGUGCUAAAGCACCCAUGAGCCGCUUUUUUUUUUUUCAGAUCCAAGUUUUCGUUUUCCGCUCGAACAGCGCGAAAAACGAAAACGCCCACUUCUCCGAAAAUCUGUAAAAUUUUUACGAGCAACCAAACAUCGGAAAAUUAUUUUUCCAGCGAAAUUUUUUUUUUCAGGAUCCUUUUACAACGAUCCAAACACACCCUAAACAAAAUUAAAAGAACGGGUUAAUUUCUUCAAUGCCCUCCUGAAAUAUUGUAAAUUUGUAAUUUCAUAAAUAACCCUUCAAAUUGUAAAAUAUCAUCAGUGCUCUUAUAAUAAAUUAAAAAGUUUAGGGUUAAGGCUUUGGGUUUGGGGUUUAGAGGGGUUUGUGAUAGAUUUAUAUGUUUAGAGAAGUAUGAAUGAUAUUUGAGUGUAGCUACUAUAAUAUCAAUAAUACUAAGCGCUUGGUGCUAGCAAGUUUUCCACCGUUAGAUAUACCCUUUGACUAUUGUCAUCCGUUAGAUCAUACUAUUCAACCAACCACCUACUCAAUCCUAGGGAAACACUAUCAUCCUAACCGCACAUCCUUUCACUCAAGGGCCGAAAACCUAAUAGCAUCAAUGAUUUGGUGCUAUUAAUAGAAUAGUAGCCUAGUUCAUGAUAUUUUAGAUUUUGAAGGGGCAUGUAUGAUAUUUUGAAGUUUUAGAGGUCUAUGUUUAAAACUACCCCAAGAAGAAAAGUGCGAACAACAAGGUCUGAAAUCUGAAUCACAUAUUAGGUAAAUAUCAUUUGAGAGAGCUAAAAUCAUCAUCGCCUACAAAAGGGUAACCAAUAUAUACUAGUACAUAAUGUACUUACACAUGAUGAACCUGUAGAAGUAUUGAAAGGGGAGAGACUUCUCAUUUUGCUGCUUAUCCAAUUGGUUUGCCAUCGCUUGCAAGGAGCGGAUUUUCUGCAGCAUUGGGUGCACAAAAUCCCUCCAUCCUUGGUAUGCUACAGCUCCCACCAACUGCUCCAUAAAAACACCAGGUGAAGAAAGUUACGCAAGACACUCUUUCGAGAAGAAUAUAUGACCAAAUAUACCAUGUCAUUUGUGAACCACGCCAGACAAAAUCAAGCAGAUGACAUCAAACGUGUAAGUUCCUGCUAGGACAAGGGCUACCAUGCCAUUCCUUUGAAGAUGAGUAGUCUGCAAAAAACAUUCUAGAUUCAAUCAAGAGAAUUACCCAAUCAACCACUACUUCAUGAAUUACCAGUGAAGGGCCAGCGCAAUUCAGUAGGAAGUGACUAAUUAGUGGUUCAGCCAACCACCAUCUUAGGUAAAUGAGUAAUUAGUAGCAUUCCUGAUAUCUGCAAACGAAAGAGUGGGAGCAAAUGGCCAUCUGUAGCAGAGUAGACCAGCCAAAAUGUGCUUCACCAUUGUACUAGAAUCUCAGAGAGAGAGAGAGAGAGAGAGAGAGAGGUGUACAACCGAACCUAACCGAACCAAGAGGUGUAGAACCAAGGAUUUAAAUAUCCAUCAGCACGAACCGUAUCCACCGUGUCGUAUCGUGCUAACAAGAUAUCGGCACAAUACAGCCCCCUUGCCAAUGGCACAGCUCAAAACCCUCUAUUCUUUCAGUUAGUAAGUAAUUUUCUCAAUAAUGUUUAAAAGAUUUGAUAAAGAUACAUAAUAAACAUUUAGAAUAUUUUGUUUCUAAAGAAAAUAAAUAUAUCAUGCGAUUAUGUGUAGGCACAUGUAUUUUUUUUAUCAGCAUGCAUCGACACGGCCUGGCACGCACUAUAUCAUACCGUGUCGGUAAGUUUCCGGCACGACCCCAUGCCAUGCUACUUAAAUCCUUGUGUAGAACCGAACUGAACAGAACCGAACCGAACCAAACCGAACAGUUUAGUUUAGAAAUUUGUUAAAGACCGAAUAGUACCGAAUAGUGCACAACCCUAGUACUGCAAAUAAAUAAAGAAUCAGUACCCUAACCAAUAUUUUUCAAAUCCCAGUUAAAAGAUCUAAAAGAACAAAACUUCAUCACAAAUCUGGAAAAUAUCCCUUCAGCGGGCCAAAAUUAUUAUUGCCGCAAAAGAAAGGAAAAGAAAUGAAAAAGUUACUCAACAGAAACAAACAUAAAUUAGGUAAAAAAGUAUGGAGACCCCCCUCAAAUCUAGGCAUUUCUACUAAAGGUCCCUAAACUUCAAAUUUUCUCAUUGACACCCCCUCAACUUUCACUUGUUUUGAUUUACACUAUUUUUGACAAUUGACUUGGGUAUUUUGUGAAUUUAUCAGUAAUUCCACCAAAUUUCAAGGUUCUAACUACUUUUCAGCUAAAGUAGCACAGACUUCAAUAUUAAUCAACAACCAACAGCAAAAGAAGCCAUUAAUUUUUAACAAAAUUCUCCAUUUAAUUAACCAAAACAACUCAAAUCCAAACAAACAAAAUUUGAAAGGGUGUCAGUCACAGAAAGAUGGAUAUCAAUAAAACCAGUUAAACUGUAGAAAAGAGUAGGCAGCUUCAGUAACCCAAAACAUCAGAACCAGUCCAGAAUAGAAUCAAUCAAAGAAGUAUAGGAAAUUAUAAACAAAGGCAAAAAAAAAAGCAACAAAAAUAAAUAACUCAAAACGUCAAUAUGGAAUCGGAACAAAACCGUAAAUCUAACACCCUUAAAAGAAAGAGAGGACAAUUUGAACAAACAAGCCAUUAACAUCAUGCCAAAUUUAAGUUCUAAGCAAAAUUCCUAAUUAUUAAGACCACAAUUGCAAUCAAAAAAAUAAGAGGAUUAAUUAACCAAAAAAACGCAUAGCAAAAAGCCAACUGAAUAUCUCAGUAGAGUAAAAGUAUUGAUUGCUAGACUAGGCCAGAUGGAACAGCAAAGGCUCAGCUUGGCCCACCUAUCUCAGACAUCAGAAUAGUAAAGCCCUCAAACAACGGAGCUAUAAAAUAGUUGUAAAAAGGGAUAAAUCACCACACAUUUUCACCUCCCCCUAUCUGCUGGCCAAAAACUGUGGAUGCAAUUGGUUGCCCACCAAGAAAUGGGCCUGCCAAAAUUUGCAUUGCCGCCACAGUUGAAUCUCAAUAGAUGAAGAGUAGAGAAGAGAAAACAAAUAAAGCAUCAAAACUCAAACCCUGAACCUAAAUCCAAUCACCCACGAUCUGAACCAAAAUUGUGUAAGGCCUAGUUUGGUUAUGUGGCGGCGAAAUGCACCUUUAGGUGCCAAAGUCAUCAUUGCCUUCAAGAGAAAGAAAAAGAGAAGAAGAUGGUAUCCAGUAGCAGUAGCAGCAGCAAAGAAAAUCAAGCAAGAAAAAAGGCUUGUGAUAAUCUUGACAUACAGACAGAGGGGGCAGCCUUUACAAACUUCCACUCUCUUAUCCAUGACAAGUGAUUAUAACAAUCUGAAGAUAAGUCUUCGGGAGACAUUACAAUGUAAUUUGACAGAGUUCUAAUAGGAAAGAGUUAACUGCUCCAUUUGUCCCCAACCUUAAGCAGAGUUUUCACUUUUGUCCCCAACUUUAAAGAGUUUUCAUAGUGGUUCCCAGCCUUUUAAUUUUUGCAAUCGAGUCUCAGCGUUUAUUAGUUGUUUCAAUCAAGUCCUUCCUGUCAAAAAGGCCCAUUAGCUGUCAUGAAGAUUGCGAUGGCAAAGUUUUGUACCAAGCAAGCAUGAUUUGGUGUUGACAUAGCAAAUUCCAUCCAAGUUAACGAGCAUUUCUGUGGAUAAAAUGUUAGAUACCCAACUGCAAAGAUUAAAAGGUUGAGGACUAAAACUUGGAUAAAGGUCGGGACCAACAGUGAAAUUAACCCAAGAAGAAAUUACUCUCUGGACCUGGUCCACCAUGUCAACCGUGUACAGCCAAUGUUUAAAAAACAGGUUCAACCAGGAAAAUAUCAGUUAAGAUACAUAAUGCAUGCCCCAUUGGAGGGCGAAUUAGCCUCUGGUUGAUCAAGUAAAGAAAAUUCCACCCCCUCUCAUCUUCUCCAUUCCAAGUCCCUCCUACGGGCUGAUGGCAGCGGCAGUUGUGACAGAACCUUCUAAGCUUCCUUGGCAUCAAAAUAUUCCAUAUACAAAUCAAAGAUUAGAGAAGGGAUAAGUGAAUGUUUACCAUAAUGGCUGAUAUAAUAGCACGCGAAAUAGAUGCUGCCUUUUACUGCAAAAACAGUCUGCUCUCUCUCCCCCUGUUAGGGAUAAUAUCUAAUAUAACCCCUCAAAACUUCUGAAAUAUCUUAUAUACCCCCAUUUUUUCGUUUCAUAUAUACCCCGUGUAAAUUUUUCCGUUAUUCAAAAAUAACCCCGCUGUUAAUACCCGUUUAGUCAUCUCAGGUCAAAUCCAGAUUAAAUUUCUACUAGAGUUAAAAAGAAGUCAAAAACCUCUUUUGCCCCUAACUAAAGGGCAAAUAAGAAAGUUGGUGACGAUAGAAGGGUAUAUUUAAAAAGGCAAAAAGUCCAAAUACUUUUUUUGCCCCUAACUUAACAACAAAUAAGAAAAGUUUGUGACAGUAGAAGGGUAUAUUUGAAAAGACAAUAAUAAUUCACAGAGAUAAUGGUUGUUCCUAACAGUUUUAUUGACAAAAUUUAACUCUAAAGAUAUAUUUGAUAUAACUUGGAACGUUAGAAGUGUAUUUUUAAUAUUAGCCUUCUAAGAGGGGUAAAUGAGAAAGUCGGAAACUUUUCAGGAGUAUAUAAGCAAUUGCCCCCUCUAUUAUAUGCCUCUCCCCCUCUUACUGCUGGCUCCACAGACAGCUGCAAAUGGUUGAUUGGUUCUCCAUUUAAGAAUGCACGGUCCAAAUUUCACCGUGCCAACUAUAUAAGAUGCUCAGCAGAGGAGUACAGCUGGAAAGAAUAGCCUUUAGGGCUGAUAACUGAGAUCGCUGAUCAUGAACUGUUAAUUAAGAUCGCAAAUCAUAAACAGUUCUUGUUAGGCCGAAACGUGGCUCAGAAACAGCUAGCUUCAUUAGCUUGUUUAAUUAAACAAGGUCAUUACCCUAACUUGCUCAUGUUAAAUUGGCCACACGCUGCAGGUUGUAAAAAGAAUCCACUAAUCAGCAGACCGACCCAGCACAAAGUAAUUCUCUGUAUUUUCUCAAAAAAAAAUAAUAGUUUUUAAAUUGUGCAAAACUGUUAAAGUUGGAAACUAAAGAUCAUCAGUCAUAUUUGCAGACCAAAUCAUCACUAUCAGAGAACUUGAAAAAAAGGUCAAAUCAUGAGCUUUCAAAUUUUCAAUAUAUGCUCAAUACACUACUUGCAAAAGUAAGAAUGCAAAUUGCAAAUCCACCAUCCAGGAAUCCACAUAAAUUUCAACAGAGCAAACUCUUUUAGGAUAUCACCUAAACGACAAGAUCACAACACAUUGGGUAUCACAGAAGAAGCCGAGUAUAAAAUAAAUAACAACACCGCAAUGUACCCAAGAAACAGCUUACUUAGUUUAGAAUAAAUAAAUAAAUAAAAAUACUUGAUGUCCCAGAAGGAAAGAGAUCAGCAGAUUUGUUGAUUCAUAAGACGGCAAUUACAAGGCAAAAAAUAAAGGGCCAGUUCCUGCCAUCCAACCAAACGCAAAAAGUCAGAUGGCUACAGCAUGGUUGCCGUGGGGCCAUCCAUGCUGCCAUGCCAUCAGAACCUACACUACAUGAAUCUGAUAAAAGAAAAUAGUGCGAAGCAAGUAUUACUGUAAGACCAGAUAUUGGACAACAUAUAAAAGAUGCAAUUUUUCACGGCAACAACAACCCUCUGAAUCUCCCACCGCCCUCCACUCUUGCUGGCCUCACAGAUCGAGACAAAUGGUUGCCUACUCAAGAAUGGACCAUCCGAAUUUCACCUUGGCAGCUGUAUUAGAACCUCAUCAACAGAGUACGAGGGGGUAGAGCUGGCAGUAGGCUUGUUAAUUGAGCUCCGCCACACAUGAAGAGCCAAAAUUUGCCUUGCCACUUAAAAGGCAGAGAUGCAAUUUCCAAACCACAGGUUAACAAAGGGAAAAUGCACUAAACCACAGGGUGAUAUUUGAAGUGUAUUAAAUUUUAGGGCUGUUUUCACUUUCUACACCAUUCUAUUGUUUUUGCCCAAGAGAAAAGAUAUCCCUACGCGCCCCUCAAAAAUUUUCCACUUUUUCCUGAGAAUACGUUUUCAAUUGCUCUACAUGUAACCAAACAUCUCAAUUGACAGCAUUCAAUUGAGAUGGACCAGGUGGCACUUCCGGCGUUCAAUCUGCUACUCAAAAAGAUAAGAUUUGGUAAUUUACACCAUUGGUCACUGAACUUAUCAUGAAACUUCACUUGGGUAACAUAACCAAUUUCAAAACUAAGGCAAGAAUGUACAAAGAGCCCUCAACCAUAAGCCAUUUUGAUCAAAUAACAGAAUUCAUGCACCUCUUUUCUCCAAGUCAGAUCCCUCCUGACAGUGAAUGGCUGCAGCAGUAAGCAUUCUCGCUAUCCAGGCUACCAUGCCAUAUAGACCUUCAGUAAGGGACCAGAUGAGAAGAUAAGGGUUCUCUUAGGAGAUAACAAAUAUCGUUAAUAGGGUUGGCAAUCCAGCUUGCAGUUUGCGAGCCAACUUGUGUUCGGCUCGAAAUGAGCUGGAGAUCGAUCGCUCGUUUAUAGGGUUGGCAAUCCAGCUUGCAGUUUGCGAGCCAGCUUGUGUUCGGCUCGAAAUGAGCUGGAGAUCGAUCGCUCGUUUAAACGAGCCGAACACAAACUAAAUUUUUCAGCUCAAAAUCUUAAUGAGCCAAAUUCAAGCUAGGGUCAGCUCGCUUGUGUUUGGCUCGAUAUAGUUCGAAUUAAUAAAUAUUACAAAGUUUUACCAUUUGGAUUUUAGGCCAACCCAAAUGCAAAAAGAACUAUAUUAGAGAAUUUCAAUUACUAGAAUAAUAUUCCAAGUUUUCAAUCUUUCAACUUUUCACCCAGUAGUAGGGCUAACAAUCUUGCUUGUUGUUUCAACUCAUGUUCGGCUCGUUAAUAAGCAAGCCGAACACGAGCUGGAUUUUUCAGCUCGAUAUUGUAACGACCGAACUCGUGUUUGUCUCGUUUAAUAAACAAGCGAACACGAGCCGGCCCCAGCUCGCUCAUGUUCGGCUCGUUGACACCCCUAAUCGCUAACAAGAAAAGAGAUCUUCUCUCCUCUCAUCUUGGCAAAAUCAAAUCCCCACUAAUGGCUGCAGCAGUUGCCACGAGGCUGAUCAUGCUGCCUUGCCACCAAAACCUCCAGCACAAGAUAUGGAUAGAAAAGAAAGCUAAAAAUGUAUGGAGACUCCCUCAACUAUAGGCCUUUUUGGGAUAGGAACCCCAAUAUUCACGAAAGACCAGCACCUGUUCGAAAUGCCUAAAAGCAAUUAGACACAAUGGCAGUCCAAUCAACAUUGUCAUCAUCCACUAAAAACUGUUUCUCACAGCUUGAAUGAGCAUCAAAUGGCUUUAAUAGCUUCAAGGGCUUAAUGAUCAGACCUCGAAUGAGCUUUCAUUUUAGAAGGAUGGGGAUCGAAUGAGCUUUCAUUGAAAUGGAUGGGGCAGGCCUUCAUCCACUACACAAAAAGAUGGGACGGUAAAUUGCACCAUUGGUCACUAACCUUGUCAAGAAACUUUACUCGGGUAACACACCCAUUUUCCAAAUGAGUAAAUAUAUACAAGGUCCCCAAUCUGUUACCCAAGUUUCAAUUGAAUCCCUAUCCUUCUAAUUGUUGCAAUUAGAUCCUUAACCUCCUCUAAUUGUUUCAAUUGGGUCCUUUCCAUUGUAAUCUCCAGUAAUUUGAAUGGACAUUGCCACUUCAGCUACCACGUAGCAUGGAUAAAUUUUGAACACUUGGUGUCUAGGAAUGGAUUUUCAAAAUUCAUAAUUGUUGAUACAUAAGCUCUUUAAAUAUUGUAAAGAUGCGAUGAAUAAAGUGUACGUAUACAAGAAGAAGAAAAAAAAAGGUUAUAUAAGAUCAUAGACCUGGUUCAACCGGUUAGGGCAUUGGAAAGGUGGUGUGGCAAACAUUGUUUGAUGACGCAGAGAUUUUGAUGAAAAAGAACCAUUUAAACCAUCUAGGAAAGGUUUACUUAAUUGCAACAAUCAGAAGGUUAGGAACACCACUGAAACUUGGAAAAAAGGUUAAGGACCUUCUAUGUAAUUUACCCUUUUCUAAAUUAAAGGCAAAAAUGUACAAAGAGCCCCUCAACUUUCCGCAUUUUUUAUUGGUCAAGUAAACUGAACUCGCCCCCCUCUCUUCUCCAAGUCCUCCAGAGGGUGAAUGGUUGCAACAGUUGCAUUCUAGCCAUCAAUGUUGCCAUGCCAUAAAAACCCUCAACAGAGGAUCUAAAAAUAAAAUAGAUCAGUAAGAGAAAAUGCUACAAAUUAAAACACAAUGAAGAAGACAUGGAGAGUGGGGGAAAGGAAAGCUAAGAUUCGCCUUAGACAAUUUCAUAUCGAGAUGUCCCACUGGUCAAAAGGAUAUCCUUAUCUGGGGAUAAUGGCUGCAGCAGUUGCCAUAAGGCCAACCAUGCUACCUUGCCACCAGAACCUCACACAAGAUCUGGAAGGGGUUAAAAAAAGUUAAAAAUGUAGAGAGAACCCCUCAACUAUAGGCCACUUUGGAACAGAAGUCCCAAGAUUGAAAAUAUCCCAUCAACUAUUCCAAAUGCCCAAGGGCACAAUACCAGUCCAAUCACCAUUGUCACCUUUCAAUACAUAGACCUAACAACAAAGGAUUUAUGAAUGGUGGCAUGGCAAAGGUGCAAGUGGAAGAGCAGCCAAAGAGAGGAGGGUUUUGGUACUUUUCCCUUUCCUUUUGUUUUUUUUUUUUUUUUUUUUGAGAGAGAAAGAUAGGUAGCAUGCUACCCGUUUCGUUUAUUUCAUUUAGAAAUAAACUUAGCUGGAAAAUAUGAACCAACUAGAAUUCGAACUUGAAUCUCGGAUACCAACCACCAAGUCCUUUGCCACUUGCUCUAGGGACGGUCAGUAAUGUUGUCGUUUGUUAAUACUUGCAGAUAUAUCUCUGCUCCAGUUUUGUACAUGAUAUAUACCCAGAUUGAUCAGUUUCUAAUUAGUUAGCACUGUUCUUUAAACUAAUUUAUUACUGCUCUUGACAGGAUAAGAUGUACGUAAUUUAGAAGCGCUUAGAAUUUUAUGAUACGAUUAAUACUAAACAGAGCAACUCGCGCAAACAGACACAAUUCUUAUUAAAGCAUGCAUGUCUCUACUUAGCAGUGUUGAUCCCUCUCCUUUUUACAUUUCAAUCUUAUUUCUUUCGGAUUGAGGCUUACAAAUAACUAGCUAACUAGCUAAAUUCCGGAGUUUUUGGACUACUAAGCCCACAAAAUUUUUGAAUAUAAAAAUAGACAUUUAAAAUUUUUAUUUAUAAAAAUAAGCUGUUAAAAGCGGUGAAUCAUUUAUUAUUUUUUAAAAACGAUGAAUAAUUCACCACCUUUAUCCUAAUUUAUAUAUUUCUUAUCUCCANGGGUGAACACACAAUGCAUCAAAAUCAUAGGCAUACACGCCAAAUCCAACUUUCCAAUAUUAAAACCAACAAUUCUGCACCACAAGGAAAAUAUACCCGGAGAGGGCCAAAAUCAUCGUUGCCUCAAAAGAAAGAAAAGGAAGAAAAGUAGAAUCGUCCAGUAGCAGCAUCAAAGAAGGAAAAAAAAAAAAAAAGGGGACCCUGAAAUGAACUUAAAAUGGAGAAUGACAGGGCAGCACUAUUGACCUUCCAUUCCUUACAAAGAACACCACCUUAGUGUUAGCGUCCUUUUGGCCAAGCUCUUCUGGUAUGCUUCCAAUUGCGGUUAUCUUUAGAAAAGCGUUCAACACAAAUUUAGAAGCUUUUGUUCAGCUGGAAGCUGAAUUGAGAGAAACAGCAUCUUUUUCUUUCUAUUUUUCUUUUCUCUUCUUUUCUUUUUUGUGUGCAUGUGUUGAGGGAAAUUGCAGCAGGCGUGGUGUUAGUGCCCUUCUGAACUACACUAAAAUAGCACUCCAUGCAGCAGAACUACACCCGACAGCAGCCAAAACAGACCCUAACUCUUCAAUAGCCUUCAACGUACCACUCAUAUCGAUUGGCCUGUUUGCGCUGAAAGAGCUUCGGCAGAAGUGUGUCAUUAGUAGAACUGCUCAAAAAGGCACUAACAGCACAAUAAGGGCAUGUUUGGUUCAAAAUCGGAAUCAAAAUCGAAAUACAAACGGGAAUAGACCGGAAUCAAAAAAGGAAUGAUGAAAACUCUGAAUUUGUUUGGUUCAUAAGAGGAAUAGGAAUCAAAAUCAUGUUCAAAUUGAAAUUCAUAAAAUUUAAAUUUUAAAUAAAAUGUAAAUUCACAAUCCAAAUUUGUAAUCAAAAUUUGAAUCCAAAAAUGAACUCACAAUUUGAACUUAACAUUUAAAUUUACAAUUUAAAUUCAAGUUCAAAGUCACAAUUAAAUUUAGAACUAAAUUCAAAUAUCAAACUUAUAAUAGAAUUUAAAUUUGAACUUAAAAAAUUAAAAAUUAAUAUUUUGAGUCGAUAAAUUCAAAUUCAAUUUAAAGUUACAAUUUAUUCUACAAUUAACUAUAGAUUAAUAUUUGAAUUUAAAUAAUUGUUAGUGAAAAAUAAGGAGUUCUUUUCUCGAUCCCUUUCGGAAUCAAAGUUGAUUCUCACCUCCAUGGUGGGAAUCAUUUUGUAGGGAUUCGAUUCCCCCCGGAAUGGGAAUCGGAAUGUGAAUCCCUCAAACCAAGCAACAACAAUAGGUAUGGAUCAGUGCGAUUCUCAUUCCAAGCCUCCAAUCCUCAAAAUAAACAUGUCCUAAAUGUAAAUGAACUUCUAGAAGGAGCACUUUAAAGGACAAAGUAUUACCUUGACCUGGUCCAUCACAUUAAUUCGUGAACCUUAUCAGCUAAUGCAAUAAAGAGAAAUUCUUCCUUGAACCUGGUCUGCCUUGCAGUAGAUUUGCUACUUGGCAAUGCCAACAAAGUCAAAAAUAUAACAAUUGGAGUAGAGCAGGAAGAAAAGGCUUCAAUAACAACAAUAACCCAAUAAAGGCAAAUCCAGGAAUAUCAAAAACUAAAGGGAAAUCCAGGAAUAUAACAAUCCCAAAAACUAAAGGGAAAUCCAGGAAUAUCGAAAGAAUACAAUAAAGGCAUGAAGAAACAAAGCUUGAAAAGUAACUUACAGAUAUGAAGCCCAAACAAUAAGAACACCAAAAACAGAAAUGACUCAAAAGCAGUAAAUAUCAGCGGAAGUACAGGUUAACCUGAUGCUAAAGUGUAGGUUUCAAACUUCGGAAGGCAAAAUGCAACUCAUGAAAUUUAUAAGGGUUUCCUGCACUACAAUUCAAUAAUAUCGACUACAAAUAAAUCACACUAAAGAAAUCAAUGGCUUGAGAGAGAGAGAGAGAGAGAGAGAGAGAGAGACAAUUGAACUAUUGAAGAGGCAAACCCUUCAGCAAUUUUCUGCAACCAUUUAAUAGCUAAAAUUACAUUCCUAAUAGCUACUAUUUUCUGCAAUCCUUCUGAAAUCUGACUUAUUUGGAAAGUAACACAAGGCAUUAAAAAUCUCACUAAAAGAUGCAAAACUCUAUCCGCAAUAACACCAUAUACUAAGCAAACUCGUAUGUGGCAAAUAACAGUAAAAUUAGUAAGUUGACAAAGCACACUGAAGGAAAUAAGGAGAGGUUAGGAAAAGGGGAACAAAUAUUUUACUGGGGAGCCUCAAUGCAGAAAGACAGCCUAGUCCAUGGUCCAAGCAUCAAGUCCCCUCCAAAGGCAAAUAACCGCUGCGGUUGCCAUUAGGCCAUCCAAGCUGCCUUUCUAUCAAAACAUUUAUUGCUGGAUUGAGAAAAAAAAAAAAAAAAAAAAAAACUCAAAGAAAAGAUAAGUAUCCCUGUCAGAGAUUUCCCCAUUAAUCUUCAUCAGUACCUUUCAGAUCAAAACAAAGACUACAAAGAAAAGAAAUGAUUUUAAUGUGCAAAUUGAACACAGGAGGAAGCAGACCCUUGCUAAGGACACCCAUUCCUCCAAAGUAGAGAAAUUAUUGCAUGCACUGGGGUACAUAGAUCAUGAUCUCCGAAAAUUUGCAAACCUAGAAGCCUCUUUCAUCAGAGAGAGAGAGAGAGAGAGAGAGAGAGAGGGAGAGGAAGAAAUAAAGAAGGCACACACAUGCAUGCACACUAGGGGUGGAAACGAACCGAGCUCGAGCGAGCUUACCUCGGCUCAAAUUCGGCUUGAAAUUAAUUUCGAGCCCAAAUUUAAGCUCAAGCUUGGAUUGAAAUUAAUUCGAGCCGAGCUCGAGCGAGCCUAAUUUCAAGUCGAGCGAGCUCGAGCCCUAAACAAGCCGCUUGAAUUUC
rnacentral:lncRNA from 1 species